rnacentral:rRNA from 1 species
UACAGAGGUCUCAAGCGUUGUUCGGAUUCAUUGGGCGUAAAGGGUGCGUAGGCGGCGCGGUAAGUCGGGUGUGAAAUCUCGGAGCUUAACUCCGAAACUGCAUUCGAUACUGCCUAGCUAGAGUCCCGGAGAGGUUGGUGGAACUCUCGGUGUAGAGGUGAAAUUCGUAGAUAUCGAGAAGAACACCGGUGGCGAAGGCGGCCAACUGGACGGUGACUGACACUGAGACGCGAAAGCGUGGGGAGCAAACAGG